CUCCUUAAAUUAUUGGCAAAAAAAGAAAUCUUUGAAUUAUGCAAUGCAAGCCAGCUGCUUUCAUUGCUCUCAGAAGGUGCAUCUACCUAAGGUCUCCUCAAGUGGGAGAGCCUGCGUCAUAAUUUGGGGUAGUGGGGACCUGCUUUUGCGCGGUCCCUGU